CUCGUGAACCAAAUAUGGUGGGCUGGGUUGUCUUUGCGGAAACGCUUAGGCGACUUGUCUACGAAUUGUAAUCAUAAUAUGGGCGGCGGUGAAUCCUUUGCAGACGACUUGAAUGGGAACGGGGUACUGUAAGUGGUAGAGUAGCCUUGUUGCUACGAUCCACUGAGGUUAAGCCCUUGUUCUAAAGAUUUGUUC
rnacentral:rRNA from 1 species